UAUCUUUGCUCACUAAUGAAAAUAGCUCAACACUGAACCAAAACAGCAGCGUGGUCCCGGAGCUGCCCCUCCUGCGGCAGCUGCUGGUCGCUGACACACACAAGUGGACCUGGACUCGGCGCUGGGCUGCUUCUCCUGGAUUAAUGAGCACAGAGCGAGCUGAGGCCCAGAGCAGAAGAAGACCUCCUGCCCUGCACAGUGUCCUGACUCUUACUCGCCCUGAUGUCUGGGUGAUCCAGUGAUGCCGGACAGAAACAUUCUUCAGAGUGUCUUCUUUUGUGCCUCACAGGCUCUGAGAGAUCUCUGUCUGUUAUAAUGUGCCAGAGCUCUUAUUUCAGAUGCUGAUGCUGCGCUCUUUUCUCCUACAAGAGCAGCUUCAUGGACGUUUGACAGCAUAAAACAUCACUGUGAUUUAAAGUAAAUGAGGUAAUUAGGGGAA